UACAGGGGGGGCAAGCGUUGUUCGGAAUUACUGGGCGUAAAGGGCUCGUAGGCGGCCAACUAAGUCACACGUGAAAUCCCCAGGCUUAACCUGGGAACUGCGUGUGAUACUGGAUGGCUUGAAUUCGGGAGAGGGAUGCAGAAUUCCAGGUGUAGCGGUGAAAUGCGUAGAUAUCAGGAGGAACACCGGUGGUGUAGACGGCUUUCUGGACCGUAACUGACGCUGAGACACGAAAGCGUGGGUAGCAAACAGG
rnacentral:rRNA from 1 species